rnacentral:rRNA from 1 species
CCUACGGGGAGCUGCAGUGAGGAAUAUUGGUCAAUGGACGAGAGUCUGAACCAGCCAAGUAGCGUGAAGGAUGACUGCCCUAUGGGUUGUAAACUUCUUUUAUAUGGGAAUAAAACGUUCCACGUGUGGGAUUUUGUAUGUACCAUAUGAAUAAGGAUCGGCUAACUCCGUGCCAGCAGCCGCGGUAAUACGGCGGAUCCGAGCGUUAUCCGGAUUUAUUGGGUUUAAAGGGAGCGUAGGUGGAUUGUUAAGUCAGUUGUGAAAGUUUGCGGCUCAAACGUAAAAUUGCAGUUGAAACUGGCAGUCUUGAGUACAGUAGAGGUGAGCGGAAUUCGUGGUGUAGCGGUGAAAUGCUUAGAUAUCACGAAGAACUCCGAUUGCGAAGGCAGUUCACUGGACUGCAACUGACACUGAGGCUCGAAAGUGUGGGUAUCAAACAGGAUUAGAUACCCUUGUAGUC